CAGCCGCCGCGGUAAAACGGAGGGUGCAAGCGUUAAUCGGAAUUACUGGGCGUAAAGCGCACGCAGGCGGUCUGACAAGUCAGAUGUGAAAUCCCCGGGCUUAACCUGGGAACUGCAUUUGAAACUGUUAGGCUGGAGUCUUGUAGAGGGGGGUGGAAUUCCAGGUGUAGCGGUGAAAUGCGUAGAGAUCUGGAGGAAUACCGGUGGCGAAGGCGGCCCCCUGGACAAAGACUGACGCUCAGGUGCGAAAGCGUGGGGAGCAAACAGGAUUAGAUACCCCGGUAGUCCCUGUCUCUUAUAC
rnacentral:rRNA from 1 species